UGUCGGUCCAGGAUGGUGGCGCUCCCGCCGGUCUCUCCCUCCCUCCCUCCCCCAGGUGGCCCAUGCCGAUGGCAGCGGCCUAACCUGGGACAGAUCUGGUGGAUUCAGCGAAGCUCAGGCAAGUGGUGCUGGCCGCUGCGGGCAGAGGUGGAGCUUGAUCCCUGCGCUCGUCAAGACCGCACGUCGGGGCGACGACGCCACGCAGUGCGUGCUCCGGUCUGCGCCUUUGCUGUUCUCAAGACGGAGACGCUCGUGCCUUCGCCAAGGUCCGCGCCUCCGCCGUUCUCGAGAAAUUGGGGGCCCAAUACGCUCACUCUCCUACAUGGUCCGAGUGAAAAAAAAAGUCAGGAGAAACCAACAGGCUCGUAGCAGCGGUAUGGAAAGGCUGUAAACGUUUCUGUCCAGUGGUGAGGUGUCACUGGUGUGAAAUGUAGAGUACGAAGUGUUCAGUCCAUGUCCAAUGGCACCCAGAGAAGGAGCGUGCAGGUGUUAAGGUGUACUGUGUCGAUAUGAGGAGUUGAAAUACUCGCUAGCUAA